UACGUAGGGGGCAAGCGUUGUCCGGAUUUAUUGGGCGUAAAGAGCGUGUAGGCGGCCAGACAGGUCCGUUGUGAAAACUCGAGGCUCAACCUCGAGACGCCGAUGGAAACCGUCUGGCUAGAGUCCGGAAGAGGAGAGUGGAAUUCCUGGUGUAGCGGUGAAAUGCGCAGAUAUCAGGAAGAACACCCGUGGCUAAGGCGGCUCUCUAGUACGGUACUGACGCUGAGGAGCGAAAGCGUGGGGAGCAAACAGG
rnacentral:rRNA from 1 species